CCUACGGGGGGCAGCAGUGGGGAAUAUUGCACAAUGGGCGCAAGCCUGAUGCAGCCAUGCCGCGUGUGUGAAGAAGGCCUUCGGGUUGUAAAGCACUUCCAGCGGGGAGGAAGGCGUUAAGGUUAAUAACCUUGGCGAUUGACGUUACCCGCAGAAGAAGCACCGGCUAACUCCGUGCCAGCAGCCGCGGUAAUACGGAGGGUGCAAGCGUUAAUCGGAAUUACUGGGCGUAAAGCGCACGCAGGCGGUCUGUCAAGUCGGAUGUGAAAUCCCCGGGCUCAACCUGGGAACUGCAUUCGAAACUGGCAGGCUAGAGUCUUGUAGAGGGGGGUAGAAUUCCAGGUGUAGCGGUGAAAUGCGUAGAGAUCUGGAGGAAUACCGGUGGCGAAGGCGGCCCCCUGGACAAAGACUGACGCUCAGGUGCGAAAGCGUGGGGAGCAAACAGGAUUAGAUACCCCAGUAGUC
rnacentral:rRNA from 1 species